UAACUAAUGUAUUUUAUGUACUAUUUAGCAUUACAAACUGAAAGAUGUAAAAUUCUGUUACAUGUUCACUUACUAAAAUAUAGUUUCAGAUCCCUAAUUACUUCCAUUCUGUAGUGUAUUAUUUCUAAAGGGCUGAUAUUGAGCUCAGUAUUGUAAGAAGAAAUAAUCCAAAAACCACCAGCCUGGAACAA